CAGUAGCCGCGGGAAUACGAAGGGGGCUAGCGUUGCUCGGAAUGACUGGGCGUAAAGGGCGCGUAGGCGGUUCGGAUAGUCAGAUGUGAAAUUCCUGGGCUUAACCUGGGGGCUGCAUUUGAUACUGUCGGGCUUGAGUAUGGAAGAGGGUCGUGGAAUUCCCAGUGUAGAGGUGAAAUUCGUAGAUAUUGGGAAGAACACCCGUGGCGAAGGCGGCGACCUGGUCCUUGACUGACGCUGAGGCGCGAAAGCGUGGGGAGCAAACAGGAUUAGAUACCCGAGUAGUCCCUGUCUCUUAUAA
rnacentral:rRNA from 1 species